GCGGGUGUAGCGCAGUGGUAGCGCAUCUGCUUCCCAAGCAGGCGGCCGUGGGUUCGAAUCCCAUCACCCGCU
rnacentral:tRNA from 1 species